AUGUUUCUUGAAGAAGCUUGCACCUACCAUUCUCUGGGAAAGGGUAGGGUUCUAAUUGCUUAGUUGCCACUGAUAGAAUGAUACUGUCUUUACCGUUGUGGGUUGAACUCUUUUCCAGGUUCUCAUAUUUCCUGAAAGAAUAAGAACUGUUCUGUCCAUUUGUUCUUCUCUAUUGCUUCUUUGAUUUACUAGAAAGCCCCGUACAAAGCAUCUCAUAGAUGAAGUUGUAUGAUGGUUGAUUAGAAAUUCGGAAUUGCAAGAUUCUUUGCUUUAGUUUGCUCCUUGUGUGGAGACUCAAUUGAAAUAAGAUGAAAGUAUCAUGGUUCAACCUUUUUGUUAAGGUUUUAAUUUUUGUCGUUGGUUGCCUCUCAUAUGGAACAGAGAAUGAGUUAAUCUAUAGUUUAGUAGUAACUCUCUAUUUAUCUAGUUUUUUUUUUUUUUUUUUGUAUUUUAUUUUAUUUUUUUGUGUGUAGUUUUAAUAUUGGGGUAGGGGGAUUUAUAUUCUGUUUGGCAAAGACCAUGCAGUAUUUAUGGGACUUUUUAGAAUUCAGGUUGGUUUUGGUUGUUAGUUUUAUUGUAAAUAUUGAGAUUUGAUUAAAUUGAUAGGAGGUUCAAAGUA